AAACAAAAAGACCUAAAUUAUAAUUAGGUUCAAAACUAGGGACUAAAUAAUAAUUUAAUCUUACCUUUAAUUAGGUGAACGUUGCCAGCCUAUAUUCUAAAAUUUUAUAGCCGUUGUAAAAUCACAAAUAGUAGAAGACACCCCUCUAUAAGAUCACCCUCUUCUUACAACCCUCAGAGUCUCAGACACAGCUUUUGUCUAAAACCAGAACCAAAGUUGCAUAGAAAAAUACGAAAGCAACUAAUCUCUCUUGUUUCUCUGAUUUAUUUAUUACUUUUAUUAUCAAUGGCUGCUCAGGUUAUUGUCUCCAAGACAUUCUUGCUUGUCCUUGUGAUUGCUGCCUUCGCUGUUGCUUCUGCCCAAGAUAGUGAAUCAAUGGCUCCUGCACCUGCACCAGGAAUGGAUGCUGGAGCUGCUGGGUUCUCUUCACCAGUUUCUGGAGCCAUUGUUGGGCUCUCUCUUAUUGUUUCUCUUCUUGGUUUCUUGAAACAUUGAUUAAUCUGUUGUUUCACUUGAUUUUUCAAGCUGGGAGGAGUUUUGGUUGAUUAAAUUAAUAUUUGUCGUGAGAGAGAGAGAGAGAGAGAGAGAAAGGUGAUGGAAAAUUGUUGUAUAUUGGAUUCAUUCUUUGUUAUUAAUUAUUUGUUUACUACAUACAAAAUUAAUGAAGUAAUUACUCUGAUUUUUUAUCCUUUUUUUUAUAAUAACUUUAUUUACUACAUCCAAAAUUAAUGAAAUAAAUAAAUUAUCCUCCUUUAAAUUAAAAAUUUUACUUGGCUACAGAUAAUUUGCUGAAUCAAUCAUCUAAAAUUUGCAAUUGUUUUUUAUCAUGAUUUAAACUAAUGUUAAUAGUUGUAAUAAAUUAAUUUGACUCAUAAAAAGUUAUAUAUUAAUUAAAUAUUAGUCUCAUAUUUAUUAUUUCAGUAUUAUUGAAAAAAAUUGUAAAUCCUCCAUAAAUCUGAAUAAAAAUUCUAGUCACCGAACAUAUAAAGUGGUGGUCGAUGUGUUCUGAGUUUUAAAAUGAUAAAAUCCCUAAAAGACCCAAGUGUACUAGCCUUCUUUUUCUUUUUUGGGACAAGCACGCGAGACUUGUCUCUUUGCUUUUAGGCAUUUACCCCUUUCUAUGGUGUUUCUUUUGAAAAUAUAUUUUUAUUUAUUGAAAUGCAUUAUAAAAAAAUGAUUUAUAAGAUAUUUAAAUUAUUAUUUAAUUUUAUUAUGCUUUUUAGAUUAUAAUAUAUAUUUUUAUAGGAAUGUUAUUUUUUUUAAUUAUUAUGUACCCAUUAUAAAAAUUAAGAAAUAAAAAAUUCAAUGAAAAUAUACCUUUUAUUUUAAUUUUAAUGGAUUUUUAAUAUGAUUUUAUCACAUUUAUUAUUUUCUUCCCUUCAAUUACAUACAAAAUAUUUAUACAUUAUUUUAAUAUUUUUUUAAAAAACUUGCUUUAAGAUCACGAGAAGUUUUUAUUUAAAAAACAAUACUUAUAAUAAAAAAUUAUUUAUGUUAAAACAAUAAAAGAAAUUCAUUAAUAAAAAAAUAUAUUUUAGAUUAAAGAGAAUGCAACUCAAUAAUUUUAUGCAUUCUAUUUUAUAACUAUUUAAUUAAAUAAAAAGUGAAUUCUAAAAAUCAAGGUUACCGGGUCAGAGUUAUAACCUAGAUUAUAAAUUGGAUAGGGUAGCUUGAUUUGACAUAGAUCUAUCUAAAAUAUUUUCAUUUUAAUUUUUUAAUAAAAUAAUAUUAAAUUGAUAUUUUUUUUUAAUUCAAAUCAAUUUUUAAAUAGUUCCAUAAAGUCAUUUGUAUUUAUUAGGUUGAUUGGAUCACACUGUAUCAACUUCCAAUCAACUAAUUUAUUUUGAAAUCCAACCUGAUUAAACCUGACUAAGAGAUCGCCAUAUAACUUAUUAAACUUUAAUGACAUUGUCGGAGAGUUCUUCAUUGUAACACUCUAGAAAGUAGAAACUGCCGUAGUUACGCUAGAAAUAUGAUCAUUCAAUUCAUGAAGUAUUUACUUCUUGUAUAGGAGAUAAUUUAGUUUUAAUUCUACAAAAUACUAGCAUGGUAAAAUUUAUUUAUUUAUUUAUUUUAUUUCUCUUGAAUGUUUACGACAAUUUUCACGUUUUUAUAUCUAAAAUAGUACCAUAAGACGACUCACAUAACAUCAAAAUCAAAAUAAAAUGCGUUUGGCACUUGAGGGUCUAGCUCAGUGGUCAACAGGUGAGGCUUGCCUUGCCUCCCGUCCCAAGUUCGACCCUCCAUGUGCAGCCUGUCACCCCCGCGGUGCCUUACCUGUCUACUGGGCUUGCAGGAUGUUCAGUAGACCCGGAGAAUAGUCGUGGUGCGCGCAAGCUGGUCCGGACACCCUGGAUUAUAAAAAAAUAAUAAUAAUAAAUAAAGUGCGUUUGCUCACGAAGACAAAAAAUUCAUCGAUUUAGCAUUAUACUGAUAAUUAUUGAAACGCUCUAAAAAAAUUUCAGAAUAUUUAUAAGCUUAAAAUAACAUUAAGGGAUUUAAAAAAAAUUAAACCCACCAACCAAAAAAGCGAACCCACAAUUACCUGAAAAGUUCAUCUGGGCAUUGCAUCUUACCUGACCUUAAACCAUGGGCUCGAAGUCACCCGCGAACUUACCGACACACAUUUUCUCACAGACCGCCCGUCUGCUGCAACGUGCUGUGUCCCCAUUCCCCCCAAAGCCCCCAUGCCAGUAUUCCACAGUCUGUACAACUUUUUAGUCACAGCCUGUAUAGCUUUCACACACAAAAGGCAUAGCUGUUCUUGGUGCUGUUGGUGAACGUUGCCAGCCAAUUAUUAUUCUAGAAAUUAGAGUUUCUAGUCGUUGUUGAAGGGCUAUUAAAUAUCAUAGCAAAGGACGCCUUUUAGACCCACCAGCCUUGCAAACCCCCUAUAAAGACUGAAAUUAACGAAGGCUCAAAACACCAAAAAAAAAAACUCCUGUCUAAAACCAAACCAAAGUUACUAAGAACCGUAUCAAUCUAUCCGUCCUUUUCUUUUCAUCUAUAACCUCUUUUAUAAUUAGGAAUGGUCACUCAGGUUAUUAUCUCCAAGGCAUUCUUUCUCCUUCUAGCGAUUGCUGCGUUUGCAGUUGUUUCUGCUCAAGAAAGUGAGAUGGCUCCUGCACCAGCACCUGGAAUGGACGCUGGAGCUGGGUUUUCUUUGCCGGUUUCUGGUGCUGUUGUUGGAUUCUCCCUUGCUCUCUCUCUUCUUGGUUUCUUGAAACGAUAAUUAUUUUGCUGUUUCUUUUCCCAGUGAUGAGAGGAUUUGGUUGGCGUAUUAAUUUGCUGUGAGAGAGUGAUGAGAUGGUGAAUGAUAUAUUGUAUCAUCUGAUUAAUUCUUUUUUUAUUUAAUUUAAUACGUACAGUAAUGAAAUGAUUGUUUUGGUUUAUUUAUCAAAUUUCUACUCUUGUAAUACUAUGAUGCUAUAUUUGAUUUUGAAAUAUGUUUUAGGAAUCCUUUGUUAUUGUUGUUACAACCUUUUUU
rnacentral:lncRNA from 1 species